CGUACAUAACAGCGCGUGACGUAUUAAUGUACCGGAAGUUUGGUUUUUGAUCGUGAUUGAAGAAGCUUCACUGAAGAAAAUUAACAACAAAACUUGAUAUAAUAGGUAUGUUUAUCUAUAUUUAUCUACACAUGACGAACAUAAAAAAUAUUUUUUUUAGUCAUGAAAUCAACAAAUGUCUACUUGGACAGGACACACUGAAGUAUAAAUGGAAGAACAUUUUGUUCGAACAUAAAACUGCCCCCCUCCACUUCCACUUAACUGUGCUGUCAUAAUUCGAUUAAAAAAAGUAGCGGUUCUUUGAGAGAUUACAUUCAAAUUAUCAUGUUUAAAAAAAAAAUUAACCUCUGUAAAUUUAUACGUAAAUGUUAAAUGAUAUCGUUGCUAUUGUAAAUGUGUUCUGGUCUCGAACAUGAUGCGUUCAAGCUAAUCGUUUUCUCCGAACGCCAUGUAUUCCUAACACGACUCAAACAUUGUGUAUAGAAAGCAUUAAGAAGAUCAAACGAUCAUCUACACUUUUGAGGAUGUACAUUUUUUAAUUAAAUAAAACCAAUGCAUAAGGAUUUGUUCACAAAUGCAAAAACUGUCAUGACAUUGCAAUGUCAAGACAGAAGUUUGUAAAAAAAAGGCAUACUGCAACACUAAUUUUAAAUUUCUCAUGUAUAUGUUAUUUAUAAUAGCUUUGUAAUUAGUAAUUCAUUUUAGCAAAUGUCCACCCUUGUGCACUGCAUUCAUGUAUUGUAAUGUAUUCCUAUGUUACUUUUAUAGGGUACAAACCCAACUAUACUGUACUUAAGGGUAAUUGUUCGUGCAUACCUCGAGAAUAAAGAGAACAUGUUGCAGUUCAAGAGAUGACUACUUAUCCUGCACCAUAAAAGUACUAUAUGUAAGUUUAAGAAUUUUGAAUAGGAGUGCAUGUCCAUUGACUUCUUACAAGUGUUGUUAUUGCAGAUUUAUCAAUAAAAUGUGCACCAUUCACUUGUUUACAUUAAUCAGAAAGCUAUUUGAGCUAAAUUUGAUGCAAUUACAUCAUCCGUCAAUUAUCCGUAUACAGAUCAUAAGUGAAAAAAUUACUAAAUAUCUUUCAAAAUAAAGGCAAAUGGUAAUUAGUUUCUUGAAAUGUUAGCAGUUAAUUUAGUGACAAGUCUAAGUUGACGAUAAAGUUUUGCCUAAAAAACAUAAUAGCACUUGCUGGACACUUUCUAUCAUUUUUUUAAAAAGAUAUAAGAACACGAGAGCACAUUUGACCACUCAAUUACCACUCAUUGGCAAAUGCAUCUUAUCUUAUAAUGCUGACAAGUAUAAUGGAAUUACAAAAACGAAAUAAGAUUUUCUAAUAUUCUUAAGGAAUGUCGACAUGAUGAAUAAUUUGUUUACUCAUACACUUCAUAUUUCACAUUUUAGAACUUACGGUUGAUGGAUAACAAGGUUAAAGAAUAAUUAUAACCCAAGGAGACGAAUCCUCUAAAAAUGGAAGCUCAAAAUCAGUUGUAAACGAC
rnacentral:lncRNA from 1 species